CCUGGAGUGCCACAUGAGUGGCAGCUGUACUAUUGAUGUGCAUGAAUAUAACAGCACUGUACGGAAAGCAUUGAAUAGGAAGGACAUAAUGGAGGAAAGCCAAUAAAAGACAGUAGGUGGAUUAGAAUCCUUCCACUUCAAUAAAAUGGCUCUCCUCGCCAAUAAAGUUGAAAAGGCUAUCAUACAUCGAGCGGAAACAGGAAUAUUUCCUGCUUCCGAUGGGAUAAUCCCGAAGAUUGCGUACUGUUGGAAAUGCAGAGAUCUAUGCUAUUGUGCCUCCUUGAACAGCUUUAAGUUCCUUGGCAUAAACAUCUCAUGUGGUCUGUAAAUACCGGCUGUGUGGUGAAAAAGGCACAACAGCGCAUCUCUCACCUCAGACGGUUGAAGAAGUUUGGUAUGGGCCCCCAAAUCCCAAGAACUUUUUACGAGGACGCAAUUGAGAGCAUCCUGACUGGCUGCAUCGCUACCUGGAUGUGAAUAUCAUCGGCAAUGCCAGAAUGUAUUGUCCCUCCCUACAGAAAUAAAGUCCUAGACAGACCAGAACAGACCAGACAAAUUUCACUCAUUUUAGGAUUGAUUUUUACAACUAAAGUUCAGUGGUUUCUUGGUUACCAUUACUGAGACAAGUUUUUUACCUUUAAAUUGCAUGUGUAUUAUUCACUUGCAUGAAUCACUGUAUUAAA